rnacentral:rRNA from 1 species
CGGCCUUGACAUACUAAGAACUUUCCAGAGAUGGAUUGGUGCCUUCGGGAACUUAGAUACAGGUGCUGCAUGGCUGUCGUCAGCUCGUGUCGUGAGAUUGUUGGGUUAAGUCCCGCAACGAGCGCAACCCUUUUCCUUAUUUGCCAGCGGGUAAUGCCGGGAACUUUAAGGAUACUGCCAGUGACAAACUGGAGGAAGGCGGGGACGACGUCAAGUCAUCAUGGCCCUUACAGCCAGGGCUACACACGUGCUACAAUGGUCGGUACAAAGGGUUGCUACCUCGCGAGAGGAUGCUAAUCUCAAAAAGCCGAUCGUAGUCCGGAUCGCAGUCUGCAACUCGACUGCGUGAAGUCGGAAUCGCUAGUAAUCGCGGAUCAGAAUGCCGCGGUGAAUACGUUCCCGGGCCUUGUACACACCGCCCGUCACACCAUGGGAGUUUGUUGCACCAGAAGUAGGUAGUCUAACCGCAAGGAGGACGCUUACCACGGUGUGGCCGAUGACUGGGGUGAAGUCGUAACAAGGUAAGCGUAGAUGA